GUGAGGAAAUGCUCCGGCGCUUCGGGAGGGUCUCGCGACCUAUCAGCUAGUUGGUGAGGUAACGGCUCACCAAGGCAUCGACGGGUAGCUGGUCUGAGAGGACGAUCAGCCACACUGGGACUGAGACACGGCCCAGACUCCUACGGGAGGCAGCAGUGGGGAAUCUUGCGCAAUGGGCGAAAGCCUGACGCAGCCACGCCGCGUGAGGGAUGAAGGCUUUCGGGUUGUAAACCUCUUUCAGCAGGGACGAAAAUGACGGUACCUGCAGAAGAAGCUCCGGCCAACUACGUGCCAGCAGCCGCGGUAACACGUAGGGAGCAAGCGUUGUCCGGAUUUAUUGGGCGUAAAGAGCUCGUAGGCGGUUUAGUAAGUCGGGUGUGAAAACUUGAGGCUCAACCUCAAGAGGCCACUCGAUACUGCUGUGACUGGAGUCCGGUAGAGGAGUGUGGAAUUCCUGGUGUAGCGGUGAAAUGCGCAGAUAUCAGGAGGAACACCGACAGCGAAGGCAGCACUCUGGGCCGGUACUGACGCUGAGGAGCGAAAGCAUGGGGAGCGAACAGGAUUAGAUACCCUGGUAGUCCAUGCCGUAAACGUUGGGCACUAGGUGUGGGGUCUAGCUAACAGAUUCC
rnacentral:rRNA from 1 species